ACGGGAGGCAGCAGUGAGGAAUAUUGGUCAAUGGACGAGAGUCUGAACCAGCCAUGCCGCGUGAAGGUUAAGGUCCUAUGGAUUGUAAACUUCUUUUGUACGGGAGCAAUAAGCCUCACGGGUUGGGGCGAUGAGAGUACCGUACGAAUAAGCAUCGGCUAACUCCGUGCCAGCAGCCGCGGUAAUACGGAGGAUGCAAGCGUUAUCCGGAUUUAUUGGGUUUAAAGGGUGCGUAGGCGGCGGGGUAAGUCAGCGGUGAAAUGUCCAUGCUCAACAUGGAACGUGCCGUUGAUACUGUCUCGCUUGAGUUCGGAUGCCGUGGGAGGAAUGUGUAGUGUAGCGGUGAAAUGCUUAGAUAUUACACAGAACACCGAUUGCGAAGGCAUCUCACGAAUCCGACACUGACGCUGAGGCACGAAAGUGUGGGGAUCAAACAGGAUUAGAUACCCUGGUA
rnacentral:rRNA from 1 species